rnacentral:rRNA from 1 species
UACGUAGGGGGCUAGCGUUGUCCGGAUUUAUUGGGCGUAAAGAGCGCGCAGGCGGUCGUUCAAGUCGCGUGUGAAAGCCCCCGGCUCAACUGGGGAGGGUCACGCGAUACUGAUCGACUCGAAGGCAGGAGAGGGUAGUGGGAAUUCCCGGUGUAGUGGUGAAAUGCGUAGAUAUCGGAGGAACACCAGUGGCGAAGGCGACUACCUGGCCUGUUCUUGACGCUGAGGCGCGAAAGCUAGGGAGCAAACGGG